rnacentral:rRNA from 1 species
UGGGGAAUUUUAGACAAUGGGGGAAACCCUGAUCUAGCCAUGCCGCGUGAGUGAUGAAGGCCCUAGGGUCGUAAAGCUCUUUCGCCAGGGAUGAUAAUGACAGUACCUGGUAAAGAAACCCCGGCUAACUCCGUGCCAGCAGCCGCGGUAAUACGGAGGGGGUUAGCGUUGUUCGGAAUUACUGGGCGUAAAGCGCGCGUAGGCGGAUUAGAAAGUUAGAGGUGAAAUCCCGGGGCUCAACCCCGGAACUGCCUUUAAAACUCCUAGUCUUGAGUUCGAGAGAGGUGAGUGGAAUUCCGAGUGUAGAGGUGAAAUUCGUAGAUAUUCGGAGGAACACCAGUGGCGAAGGCGGCUCACUGGCUCGAUACUGACGCUGAGGUGCGAAAGUGUGGGGAGCAAACAGGAUUAGAUACCCCUGUAGUCC